GCUCCAACUGUAGCCACAGCUUCUCCGCACCCUCUGCCCAUCGGUUGGUUAUAAUUUCAGAUACCUGAAGCCAGAUGUGGACAAGAAAUCUAAACAUAAGACAGCAGUAAAGAAGAAGACCCUGAACCCCGAGUUCAAUGAGGAAUUCUGUUAUGAGAUUAAGCAUGGGGACCUGGCGAAGAAGACUCUGGAAGUUACUGUUUGGGAUUAUGACAUUGGAAAAUCCAACGAUUUCAUUGGCGGUGUGGUUCUGGGCAUCAAUGCUAAGGGCGAGCGCCUGAAGCACUGGUUUGACUGCCUAAAAAACAAGGACAAGCGGAUCGAGCGCUGGCACACACUCACCAACGAGCUCCCGGGGGCCGUGCUCAGCGACUGACCAGCCCCCACCUGCCGCCGCACCCACCCCUGCCUGUCUCCUGGCCCAGCACCGGCCUGGCCCUGGGCCUCCUCAGCUGCCACCAAGGGCCUCGGCCCUCAUCUUAGGGGAGAUCCAGGAUGCCCGCUCGGACACUGCGCCACGGCGGCCCCUGCUCGGAGGCUGAGGGGGGCUCCGCCGCUCCGGGGACAGCAAGGCCAGAGAGCUGGGCCUGCUCUCAGCCCCUGGGGCCCAAGAAGGCGGGGCGGGGAGAGGACCUUGGCCUCGGCGCCCACCCCAGGGAAGGGAAUGGGGCCGUCCGGGGGCUGAGGGCCCUACUGGAGGUCAGCAGUAAGUCAGGGGGACCCCAGGCUGAGAGGACAGGAGUGGAGGGGCACCUUGGCAGGGCCAGUGAGAACUCCCGAGAGGGACAUUAGGGAGCGGGGCGUGGGGGGAAGGAGAUUUGGGAAAGUAUUCCCAAAAAGGAGGUUCUUACUAAAUCCGUUCAUCUCUGGCAUUACUGGGCGGGUGGAAAAAAGCUGACCCGAGAGCAAGGAGCGAGGUGAAGUUCCUACAGGCUCUCACUGAACAUGGGCAAUUGGCAAGCACUUCACUCAAUGAUUCCACAAGCCCUUGGAGAUGAAUGAGACCCAGGGCUUGCCCUCUGAGAGUUCCUUGUCUAAUCAAGGAGCUAAGAACAAACCAUUACAACAGGGAGGGAGGAAUGCCAAGGCCGGGCUGACAUACCUUUGAGAGCCAUGGACUCUGACUCUACUGGGAGGCAGGGAGGGCUUCCCGGAGGAGGUGAUGCUUCAGCAAGGCCUUGAAGGGUGAAUGGAGUUUCUGGGCAGACAAAGGGGAAGGGCAAUGUGUGCAGUGGGAAUGAUCUAUAAAAGCCUAGAGGGGAGGGUAUGGUGAUUGGGCUAGGGUCGCUGUGCAAGACCUGGGGUCUCUGGAGACAGGGUGUGUUAGGACAGGAGUGGGGCCUAGAGGUGAUGUCACCCACCCCUGCUUCCACCCCACCCCUGCCUGCCAGGCCAGCCCCAGCUCAUAGCUUUGGGGGAAGUGAUGGAAGCACUGUGGUGAAACUGAUCUUGGGGCAGGGUCUAGUUCAGCCCUCAGACCCAGUUCUCCCCACUUUAAUCUUUCUCCUCCCAAGGAACCUGGCUCUCAUUCUUACCAGCUUAAGCAUGAGGUCAGCUGUAAUCAAGAAAAGGGUCCCCCCCUUUUUUUUUCAUGAAGCAAAAAGUCCUCAUCUUCACCCACUUCUUCCUUUCACCCACCCCCCACUUCUGAGUCCAGGCCUGGGGAGUGAGGGGUCCAGGUGAACGCCCACACAUCCUGGCCUUACUGUGGCCACUGAUGUCCCUUUCAGGAGUGCUGGGUGGCAGUCCAGGGCCUCCUUUCUGAGGGGCCUGUGAGGCUGGCUCCUACCUCCAAGGGCUGAGAGAGACACCCUGCCUGGUGGGCCUGGCACCCUGAGUCAAAUUGAGGGCAUCGCAAUUUGGGGGCCCACGUGUGAAGUCCCAAGUUUCUCCUGCCUACGAAGGGGCCUUCAAGACUGCUGUAUGAACAAAUGCAGAGCCAGGGAAUUUGUGUGUUUGCCCCAGCACUGCACUAACGGAAAACAGAGGCCCAGAGAGGGAAGGUGACGAGCCUGAGUGAGGCCUCCCUGCCCUGCCACAGCUGGGGUAGGCCAGGCUCCCUGGCCCCUGCCUCACCCCCGGCCCAGAGCUCUGGACAGCAUGCUUCAAGAGAAGGAGGUCCGUCCUGUUAGCUUCCUGCCUGGGGCUCAGCCCUGCCUGCUGCAGACACAAAGCACAUCACCAUCUGAGGCCUAGGGUGAUGAUUCGAAUUCCACCAAGUGCCCAUCAGCCCUUUCCCGGUCUGCAGGGACAACAGGACUCUGGCCCCCACACAGUACCUGGCAACUUGGCUGGUCACAGAGCCUUGGUUUUCCUGUCUUUGAAGCGGCUUUGUGUAUGUUAAGGGUUUUUACAUGCACUGUCUUAAUGAAUUUUCACAAUUCUGUGAGGUGGGUUUGUCAUCUUCAUUUGACAGAUGAAGAAACAGAUUCAGAGAGGCUGAGUAGUCUGUCAAUGUCACACGGCAGGGCAAGGGCAAACCAGGACUCAGCCCAGGUCCUGUGACUGCCACAUCCUCUGAUUGUCUGGGAGAUAGUACUCCCCAGUCCUCUCCUUCCUGGGCUGUGGAGGGCUCAGCAGAUACACUCAGAAGACUCGGGAAGCUCUGGUGCCUGAUGAAGGGGUGGGACCACAGCACUGUCCUGCUGCCUCAUCCCCUAGAUGGCUUUGAAAUCAUUGAUCCACUUAGAACUUCCCCAGAGGUCCCCAGGGUCCAGGCCCGGAACUCAGCUAUCCCUCCCUAACCUCUGAGUCCGUGGGCCAGACCUUCCUCCUCGUGGGGGCUGAGGCAAGGGCUCCUCUUUUCUCCACAGGGCUGGAAUGGGGGAAACCUGGGGGACUAAGGAAAGAGAUGGCCUAUUUUUGAGGGGCCUCCUGGCUGGGUGAGCCCUGGGUAUCUUCCAGCUUUGCCUCUUGGAGGGCCUCAGGAAAGGAGCUGCAGAGCUGCUCUGUGAAGAUACUGAAAUGCUGAAGGGCAAGGCUAGAAGGGGCCGUGAGUCUGACCCAAUACAACGUCCUUGUUAGACACCAGGGAAACUGAGGCCCAGCGAGUGUAAGGAGCCCAUUUAGGGCUCUCUACUGCCCCAGGUUGUGCAAGGGUAGACUUGGUCCCAGCUGACCCCAGGGACAGGAUGGAAGAUGGGUCUUCUGGACAACCAGCCCAAGUGGGGGGUGGGGCGCCUAGGGAGGAGGGCCCCCCAGGGAGUGAGGAACUCUUCGCCAGGGCCAGGCACUGCUCCUGACCCCUCGCGGAUUGGAUUUCUGUGACAGCUCUUUCGGAAGCUGCAGUCAUCCGCUCCGCCUUCGACCUCAGACUGGCAUCCCUCCUCUGGCCGGUCAGCCGCACAAAUAGACGGGAACGUUGACGCCCCUCCCCCACCACGGCCAAAAGCCAUUCCCGAGUCUGGUGUCUGUAACCAGGAAGUCGCCCGACGGCGCGCUGCGCCCUCCACGCCCGCCUCCCGCCGCCCCCACUGGCCAAUCCCAGACGGGCCCGCCUUCCACCCCCGAAGCGGGGACCGCCUGGCCCCUAGCGGCGAGAGCGGGAACUGCGCCUCCCGGCCCGUGCAUGUCCUUCCGUUUGCUCGUUCUCACAGCGGGACCCCGAUGCAUGGACUCUGGCUGUCGUCGACGCGGACGCUCGCGCACUGCUUACCACCGUUUUGCUACCAUGUGGCGGCUGCACAACACGUCCUUAACCUGCAGCCCCACACUCGAUUUUUGUACUUUCGUCUUACCUACUCGAGGGUGUCCUUUUUAAGUCUUAUUUGUUAAUAUUUAUAAUGACCUAUAAUUCAAAGUAAAUGAAAACGUUCACUGCAA